AUCAAGUUUAACAUGAAAGCAAUGAUGAUCUAAGAUUCAUAACAACAAAUAAAGAAAGUAGAAAGAAAAAAAUAUCUUUCUCAUAAAGCACGACCAACUACACAAAUAUGUGGGGCAGAACCUACUACCUGGUAGUUUCAAUGAUGAACUAUCAUGAUAUAGGGCUAAAAGAUGGAUGUGCCAAAUCCACCUCAUGAAAAACAGAUUGGGCAAAAGUGGAGUGCGAACACUAAAUGAUGUGCUGCUAAAAAGCAGAUCUUUACAAGUGAAUUCGGCAAAUCCUGAUGCAACCUGAGCUUACCAAGUUUACUGACAGUUUGGACUCUGUGUGGAUGAUAAUAUUGACAAUAUAUUGUGUUCAUGUUGUGUUGUGAUUGACAUUUUUUAGCAGAUAAGAUUUUUUAAUCCAGACUUAACAGGUGAUUUUUCUUCAAAGAAUAAAUACAAUACUUUUUUUAUUGAUGUGCAUGAAUUUGAGUACAAAAUAUCAACAAUGUGUAUAUUGUGUUGUUUUUCCAAUCAGUCUGUCAUCCAUAGGUUAUAUAUUAAGUAUGAGAAGGGAAUAUUUUAUUUUUACAUUUUUGUUGUUUCUGCACACCAUGUCAGAUACAUGAAAAUAUAUUUUAUGCCCCCAACGGGCGGCAUACAGUUUUCGCACUGUCUGUCUGUCAGUCUGUCUGUCCUCCGUAACACUUUUCGUGUUCACUCUCUAAUUCAAGUAGUUCUAAUCCGAUCUCCAAACUUGGUCAGAAGUUGCAUCCGGAUAAUGUCUAGGUCAAGACGAACAUGGGUCAUGCCGGGCCAAAAACUAUGUCAUAGGGUCACUUAGUGCGUUUCAAACAUUCAGCAUGGUGUCCGCUCUCUAAUUCAAGUAGUUUUCAUCCGAUCUUUCCCAAACUCUGUCAGAAGUUGUAUCUACAUAAUGUCUACGCCAAUUGUGAACAUGGGGCAUGCAGGGCAAAAAACUAGUUCACUGGGUCACUUAGUGCGUUUUUAACAUUCAGCUUGGUGUCCGCUCUCUAAUUCAAGUAGUUUUCAUCUGAUCUUCACCUAACUUGUUCACAAGUUUUAUCUAGAUGGUCUCUAGGCCAAGUUCGAACAUGCAUGCAAAGAAUUGGCAGAAAAAAACACAUCUACAUACUGCAGCAGAUGACAUAUGUAACAAACAAAAUUUAAAUAUUGAACACCUGUUAUGUAGCAAACUAAUAGUUAAAUAAAAUAAAGGCGAUGUAUAUCUCAAAA